CGGGUGAGUAAUGUAUCGGAACGUACCUUUCAGUGGGGAUAACGUAGCGAAAGUUACGCUAAUACCGCAUAUUCUGUGCGCAGGAAAGCAGGGGAUCGCAAGACCUUGCGCUGAUUGAGCGGCCGAUAUCAGAUUAGCUAGUUGGUGAGGUAAAGGCUCACCAAGGCGACGAUCUGUAGCGGGUCUGAGAGGAUGAUCGGCCACACUGGAACUGAGACACGGUCCAGACUCCUACGGGAGGCAGCAGUGGGGAAUAUUGGACAAUGGGGGAAACCCUGAUCCAGCAACGCCGCGUGGAGGAUGAAGGUCUUCGGAUUGUAAACUCCUGUUAGGGGGGACGAAGGGAUGCCGGCGAAUAGUCGGCAAACUUGACGGUACCCCCAGAGGAAGCCCCGGCUAACUCUGUGCCAGCAGCCGCGGUAAUACAGAGGGGGGCAAGCGUUAUUCGGAA
rnacentral:rRNA from 1 species